AUCUACUACACAGAACACGUAUGCUUAUGUCACUGACAUGUUCACGCUUCGAUGCAAGAAAAGGAAAAAGGAAAAUUCUUAAUCUUCGUGGCUAGGUGGAAGAUAGCUCCUAAUGGAUUUCUCAUAACCUAAAAAAUCUCGAAGUUCGUAGGUUAGACGCCUGUAGAAUGGCAAUCCAUUCAUCAACAGCAUACUCCAGAAAUGUAAUCAAUCCAAUAAAGACAGUUUAAUUACAAA